ACAGCCCAGAGAAGUUUAGAUAUCCUGUUGUUAUAGGGUUACCAGGGCGUUGCUACAGGGUGUUUUGAGCUGUUGCCAGGGUGUUGUUAUAGGGUUACCAGGGCGUUGCUACAGGGUGUUUUGAGCUGUUGUCAGGGUGUUGUUAUAGGGUGUUUUGAGCUGUUGUCAGGGUGUUGUUAUAGGGUUACCAGGGCGUUGCUACAGGGUGUUUUGAGCUGUUGUCAGGGUGUUGUUAUAGGG